rnacentral:lncRNA from 1 species
AAGCAGACGAGAAAUGGCGGUUGGUGUAUGUGUUUUGAUGUAAAGUUAAUACAGUAUAGAGAUUUAGGAAAAGGGAUAUGAAAAGCAUUAAAUUUGUAUUUGAAUGCAAUAUCUAUCCAUAUAAUCGAAGAUGGAAGAUAGUGGUAUAGAUAGUGAUUCUAAAUCUAAUAGUAAUAGUUGUGUUGCUGCUCCAUCUGUGUGCAAUGGGCGUGAAUCGUCGAUGGCUGUACGGAAAGAAAACAAAUCAGAGGAAUCGAAUUUACAAGAGGAGAUCGAGUAGUUCCAGACAUCCCAAGUUUACAAGCCAUCCCAACUCUAGAGAAUAUCCUUUAAAGAUUUAUAUUUGUCAACAAAGAACUUUUUGUUUUCAGAUACGGGUAGAAAAUCAAAAAGAUGAAAUUGGUGAAACUAUUCCUACAUCGUCAUCACAGUUAAUGACUACAGUUCAGUUACAAAAACGCCUUG